CAGGAAGCGGGACAGGAUGGGGAGCUUGCUCCCUGAUGUUAGCGGCGGACGGGUGAGUAACACGUGGGUAACCUGCCUGUAAGACUGGGAUAACUCCGGGAAACCGGGGCUAAUACCGGAUGCUUGUUUGAACCGCAUGGUUCAAACAUAAAAGGUGGCUUCGGCUACCACUUACAGAUGGACCCGCGGCGCAUUAGCUAGUUGGUGAGGUAAUGGCUCACCAAGGCAACGAUGCGUAGCCGACCUGAGAGGGUGAUCGGCCACACUGGGACUGAGACACGGCCCAGACUCCUACGGGAGGCAGCAGUAGGGAAUCUUCCGCAAUGGACGAAAGUCUGACGGAGCAACGCCGCGUGAGUGAUGAAGGUUUUCGGAUCGUAAAGCUCUGUUGUUAGGGAAGAACAAGUACCGUUCGAAUAGGGCGGUACCUUGACGGUACCUAACCAGAAAGCCACGGCUAACUACGUGCCAGCAGCCGCGGUAAUACGUAGGUGGCAAGCGUUGUCCGGAAUUAUUGGGCGUAAAGGGCUCGCAGGCGGUUUCUUAAGUCUGAUGUGAAAGCCCCCCGGCUCAACCGGGGAGGGGUCAUUUGGAAACUGGGGAACUUGAGUGCAGAAGAGGAGAGUGGAAUUUCCACGUGUAGCGGUGAAAUGCGUAGAGAUGUGGAGGAACACCAGUGGCGAAGGCGACUCUCUGGUCUGUAACUGACGCUGAGGAGCGAAAGCGUGGGGAGCGAACAGGAUUAGAUACCCUGGUAGUCCACGCCGUAAACGAUGAGUGCUAAGUGUUAGGGGGUUUCCGCCCCCUUAGUGCUGCAGCUAACGCAUUAAGCACUCCCGCCCUGGGGGAGUACGGGUCGCAAGACUGAAACUCAAAGGAAUUGACGGGGGCCCGCACAAGCGGUGGAGCAUGUGGUUUAAUUCGAAGCAACGCGAAGAACCUUACCAGGUCUUGACAUCCUCUGACAAUCCUAGAGAUAGGACGUCCCCUUCGGGGGCAGAGUGACAGGUGGUGCAUGGUUGUCGUCAGCUCGUGUCGUGAGAUGUUGGGUUAAGUCCCGCAACGAGCGCAACCCUUGAUCUUAGUUGCCAGCAUUCAGUUGGGCACUCUAAGGUGACUGCCGGUGACAAACCGGAGGAAGGUGGGGAUGACGUCAAAUCAUCAUGCCCCUUAUGACCUGGGCUACACACGUGCUACAAUGGACAGAACAAAGGGCAGCGAAACCGCGAGGUUAAGCCAAUCCCACAAAUCUGUUCUCAGUUCGGAUCGCAGUCUGCAACUCGACUGCGUGAAGCUGGAAUCGCUAGUAAUCGCGGAUCAGCAUGCCGCGGUGAAUACGUUCCCCGGCCUUGUACGCCCUCCCCUCACAACACGGAGGUUUUCACAUCACAAAUAAAAAUUCGCCUGGGAGCCAUUACGCCUUAUUAUUUUUAGGGAAAUAA
rnacentral:rRNA from 1 species